UACGAUUCUCACGAACGUUAUUCGGAAUUACUGGGCUUAAAGGGUGCGUAGGCGGUGAAGUAAGUCGGGUGUGAAAUACCAUAGCUUAACUAUGGAACUGCACUCGAUACUACUUUGCUAGAGUAAGACAGAGGUGAGUGGAACUGAGGGUGGAGCGGUGAAAUGCGUUGAUAUCCUCAGGAACACCGGUGGCGAAGGCGACUCACUGGGUCUUUACUGACGCUGAUGCACGAAAGCUAGGGUAGCAAACGGG
rnacentral:rRNA from 1 species